UGUUCCAGUCGAGCUGCUGCCACUGAGGU
rnacentral:sRNA from 1 species